CUCAAUUGAAGAGAAUGAAUUAAAAGUUGUGUGAAUGAACUUAACAUGACUUGUUUUAGCAAUUGGUGUUGAUUUGCCCAAAUCAUUGAGAGAAAGAAAAUUCAGCAAAAGGCAAAGACCUCAAAAGCACAAAUCAUAAAACUGUUCCGAUGGUCUAGACUAUGAACUGAGCCCAAAAGCCACCUGAACAAGUGACUAACUGAGUAAUCGGGGGUGUAUCACCCAUGUACACAAUCGCGUAAAAAGGUUAGUGACUUUUUCAAGCAAAAAUAAGUUUCGAUGGUCUAGACUAUGAACAGAGCUAGUAGCCACUUGAAUAAGUGACUAACUAAGUAACCGGGGGUGUAUCACCCAUGUACACAAUCGCGUAAAAAGGUUAGUGACUUUU
rnacentral:lncRNA from 1 species